rnacentral:rRNA from 1 species
AAUGAACGCUGGCGGCGUGCCUUAUACAUGCAAGUCGAGCGAGAAAGGGACUUCGGUCCUGAGUACAGCGGCGGACGGGUGAGUAACACGUGAACAACUUGCCUAGGAGUGGGGAAUAACCCGAGGAAACUCGGACUAAUACCGCAUAAUCCUCCUGGAUUUCGAUUCAGGUUGGAAAGGCGGCAUUCUUCGGAAUGCUGUCGCUCUUAGAGAGGUUUGCGUCUGAUUAGUUAGUUGGUGGGGUGAUGGCCUACCAAGACGAUGAUCAGUAGCCGGCCUGAGAGGGCGAUCGGCCACACUGGAACUGAGACACGGUCCAG